rnacentral:rRNA from 1 species
CCCUUAGAUGUCCUGGGCUGCACGCGCGCUACACUGAUGUGUCCAGUAAGCACCUAACCUCUUCCGAAAGGAACGGGUAACCUUUGCAAAGCACCUCGUGAUGGGGAUAGAUUAUUGCAAUUAUUAGUCUUGAACGAGGAAUUCCUAGUAAGCACAAGUCAUCAGCUUGUGUUGAUUACGUCCCUGCCCUUUGUACACACCGCCCGUCGCUCCUACCGAUUGAAUGUUCCGGUGAGCUCUUCGGACUGCGCGGUCUGCAGUUUCUGCGUUCCGUGCGGAAAGUUGCGCAAACCUUAACAUUUAGAGGAAGGAGAAGUCGUAACA